AGGGCGAGACUGGCCCAGCAGGAUUACCGGGAGAUGUGGUUCAUAAAGAAGGCUUGAAAGGAGAAGCUGGCCCCCCAGGACCGCGUGGCCCCCCAGGCCCAAUGGGGCCAGCUGGACCUCCGGGUGCACAAGGUCCUCCUGGAGAGCCCGGUCAGCCAGGAGAGUUUGGUCUGAGGG